UACGAAGGGCCCAAGCGUUAUCCGAAUUUAUUGGGUUUAAAGGGUGCGUAGGCGGGUUAUUAAGUCAGUGGUGAAAGCCUGCAGCUUAACUGCAGAACUGCCAUUGAUACUGAUGAUCUUGAGUAUGAUUGAGGUGGGCGGAAUGUGUCAUGUAGCGGUGAAAUGCUUAGAUAUGACACAGAACACCGAUUGCGAAGGCAGCUCACUAAGCCAUAACUGACGCUGAUGCACGAAAGCGUGGGGAGCAAACAGG
rnacentral:rRNA from 1 species